UACUCUUGUCCGUACUCUUAUUUAGCGUUUUGGGCCGUAAAGGAUUAAGCUUAAUCUUUUUACCCUGGAAUACAAAGGAGCAAGAGUUAGUUCGACCGUAGAUGGUGACAUCGAGAUCGAACAACCAAGAACUACCUAAUAUCAGAUGACCUACGUCCAUUGGGAGUACGUCACACCAGACAGUGUCUUUAUAAGAGAGGAUUUGAAUAGGUACAAGACACCGUUCCUUAAUGUGAAUGGACGACGUGUCGAUCCAGGAGACCUUAUAAGGUUGAGGUUGGGACACAGGAGUCAGACCCAAGCGGGCGACAAUGCUGGAAGAUAUCGCAUUAAUGCAGCUCCCGCUAUCAAUGAUAACUUUACAAUCUUUUUUGCCGCAUUUAAUGUAAGUGUGGAAAAUUGAGGUUCGUCUCCAGUCAUCAGUCUCUUUAGGCUGGGUAAUUGCACACCUUACUACAUU
rnacentral:lncRNA from 1 species